AUUGAACGCUGGCGGCAGGCCUAACACAUGCAAGUCGAACGGUAACAGGAAGCAGCUUGCUGCUUUGCUGACGAGUGGCGGACGGGUGAGUAAUGUCUGGGAAACUGCCCGAUGGAGGGGGAUAACUACUGGAAACGGUAGCUAAUACCGCAUAACGUCGCAAGACCAAAGAGGGGGACCUUAGGGCCUCUUGCCAUCGGAUGUGCCCAGAUGGGAUUAGCUAGUAGGUGGGGUAACGGCUCACCUAGGCGACGAUCCCUAGCUGGUCUGAGAGGAUGACCAGCCACACUGGAACUGAGACACGGUCCAGACUCCUACGGGAGGCAGCAGUGGGGAAUAUUGCACAAUGGGCGCAAGCCUGAUGCAGCCAUGCCGCGUGUAUGAAGAAGGCCUUCGGGUUGUAAAGUACUUUCAGCGGGGAGGAAGGGUGUAAAGUUAAUACCUUUGCUCAUUGACGUUACCCGCAGAAGAAGCACCGGCUAACUCCGUG
rnacentral:rRNA from 1 species